rnacentral:lncRNA from 1 species
AUCGAAAUCCGCGCCUAAGACCUCCAUUACCAAGGUAGGGGUUACAACAGAAAGUUUGGUCUCCUGCAAGAAAACAAUGGAAGCCCCCGUCGUAUCGACACCUAAACGACGCGCCCUACAGUUCAGGCCGCGGACGUUCCACACCAAAAUCUUAGGAUUAAAACACAUUACAACGCUAUUAGUACACCCGAUGAGACGAAGGUCGUCAAGCCUCCACGAGGCGACCUCCCGACGCCGUUGACCAUGGAGGCGUCGUACCCUGAAUGCUCGAAAUAGUCCACCCGAAAAAGUCUGCAAUGGCCGCAAUCAUGACGUCGCCAAGAGGCACGUCAAACAGCUUGCGAUAUGCGCUGACAGCCUCAGCUGAAGGGGCUUCAUCCUCCCUGACAAUGCCAAGCUUCCGCAACAAGACCCGCUGUGCACGCUGCUCCGAAUUCAGCCCCAUCGUCUGUCCCGCGAUCCUUGAACUGCGGCGAGGCUGAAAGUUCAGCGGCCGUUGGCGAUGGCGAGCAGCCGGAAUCGGC